UACAGAGGGUGCAAGCGUUAAUCGGAAUCACUGGGCCUAAAGCAUCCGUAGCCGGCCUUACAAGUCCUCCGUUAAAUCCAGCUGCUUAACAGAUGGGCUGCGGAGGAUACUAUAAGACUAGGAGGCAGGAGAGGCAAGCGGUACUCAGUGGGUAGGGGUAAAAUCCGUUGAUCCAUUGAAGACCACCAGUGGCGAAGGCGGCUUGCCAGAAUGCGCUCGACGGUGGGGGAUGAAAGCUGGGGGAGCAAACGGG
rnacentral:rRNA from 1 species